rnacentral:rRNA from 1 species
AUUGAACGCUGGCGGCAUGCCUUACACAUGCAAGUCGAACGGCAGCACGGGUGCUUGCACCUGGUGGCGAGUGGCGAACGGGUGAGUAAUACAUCGGAACAUGUCCUGUAGUGGGGGAUAGCCCGGCGAAAGCCGGAUUAAUACCGCAUACGAUCCACGGAUGAAAGCGGGGGACCUUCGGGCCUCGCGCUAUAGGGUUGGCCGAUGGCUGAUUAGCUAGUUGGUGGGGUAAAGGCCUACCAAGGCGACGAUCAGUAGCCGGUCUGAGAGGACGACCAGCCACACUGGGACUGAGACACGGCCCAGACUCCUACGGGAGGCAGCAGUGGGGAAUUUUGGACAAUGGGCGAAAGCCUGAUCCAGCAAUGCCGCGUGUGUGAAGAAGGCCUUCGGGUUGUAAAGCACUUUUGUCCGGAAAGAAAUCCUUGGCUCUAAUACAGUCGGGGGAUGACGGUACCGGAAGAAUAAGCACCGGCUAACUACGUG